CCAAAGAAAGUGUUCAGACUAGUAGACAUGCUGCAGAGGUGGGUACUAAGGGACUUGCUGAAGCAGCAGCGCAAAAUGUCUGAUGUGUUAUGCUUUGCUCAGCAUUUAUCCCAAUCGUAUCUGCAGCAAGUGCCUAUUAUCUGCUUAAUACUAAAGUUGAAUACACUGGAAAUGUUCAAGUUUGCCUGGGUUGUAAUGAGCAGGACAGAGAAAGAGCUGAGUCACACACAGUGCAGAGGCCUUGUCACACCCCAGUGCAGCCCUGUGUUCUAAUACCUGUUUCCUGGGCCAGAGACCUCCUCAGGCUACCAUGUACCUUAGAACUGGAAUACAGCUGAAUCUAGAAUCUCUGCUUUCUGUUUCGUUAAGCAUAUGUUUGCAAUACACCAUGGAGACACUCAUCACGGGCGCUGGCACACAUACAUGCUGCGUCUUGGUCCUUUUACUUCCUCUUCACCUCACAUCCCUUUCAUCUGCCCCCUCUCCCCAGGCCCUUCCCACCUCCACAAGCUCUAUCUCUCUUCAAAACAUUUUAUUUUUAGAGACUCCCUUGUCAGCCUAAUCAGAAAGAAGUAUAAACACAAUAAAGAAUCUAGAUGAGAUUCUUUAAAAAAUGCACGUGCUGUUCCCUUAGGGUAAUUAUGUAAUUUUGUUAUAAAACAGAAGGUUCAACACGGCAAAAUGUUACCCACAUGGCUUUACUUGUAUCCAUUUCAUGAAGUUAUCAACGUGCACAAAAUACGUCCGGACAGCAUUUCCAAAUGCCAUUACAAUAGAAGGAGGGAAGGGAGAGCGAUCCAAGAGGAAGAAAACAUGAAGAAGAAGAGUGUGGGAAAUCAGCUUGUUUUCCCUUCCUGUCCCGUCCCUUCCCUUCCCUCCCUUCCCCUCUCCUCCACACCCCUUCCUUCCUCUCCCCUCCCUACCUCACAAAAUCAUAGAUGCACUUGGAAUCGCAUCAGUUAGAACUAGGAAGUUUGAUCACAUGUAUGGCGGUCCAGCUCUCACAACACGAACCUGCCUGAGUUGGGGAGUGAGGAUUAAGAAAGGAAAGAACACUCAAGCCUGAGUGGAGACCAAGAGAAGUCUGAUGUAUUUUACAGAAACAGAUCUUUUUAAAGGCACAUCAACAGGAAGCACCAAGCAACUAUUUGUAUCUUAUGCAAAGACCGGAUUUCUUAACUCUUACAGAGAACAUCAGAUCUUUGGCUAUCUCUUCCAGUUCCUCCCAUCCCAG
rnacentral:lncRNA from 1 species